rnacentral:rRNA from 1 species
CGCAUCUGUGCAUGCAGCAUAUCAAUAAGCGGAGGAAAAGAAACUAACAAGGAUUCCCCUAGUAACGGCGAGUGAAGCGGGAAGAGCUCAAAUUUGAAAUCUUAAAGGGUUUCCCUUUACGAAUUGUAGUUUAAAGAAGUGUUUUCUGUUGAGGUUUUGGUAAAAGUUCUUUGGAAUAGGACAUCAUAGAGGGUGAGAAUCCCGUAUUUGACCUUUACUCUCAACUUUGUGAUACACUUUCAAAGAGUCGGAUUGUUUGGGAAUGCAGUCCAAAAUGGGUGGUAAAUUUCAUCUAAAGCUAAAUAUUGGCGAGAGACCGAUAGCGAACAAGUACCGUGAGGGAAAGAUGGAAAGAACUUUGAAAAGAGAGUUAAACAGUACGUGAAAUUGUCAAAAGGGAAGCGUUUGACACCAGUGUUGUUUUUCUGAAAAUCAAUUAAAGAACUGUUUAUGCUAAGUUGUUUAGACUUUAUCAGCUAUCUGCUUAGUUUUGAGCUUUUCUUUAAUGCACUUUUCAGUUAACAAGUCAACAUCAAUUUCUUUUGCUGUAAAAAAGCUUGAGGAAGGUGGCUUGAGAUUCGUCUUAAGUGUUUAUAGCCUCUUGCCUAUGCAGUCGGAGAGAUUGAGGUCUGCAGCGUAGAUCCUUCGGGGCUAAAUGCAUUUGUGCUAAGUUAUAGCAUUUUAUAGACAACUUGUUGACUAUGAUUUGUCUUGUAGCUUACUCGCUUAUGUUAUUUUACCUACGCUUAGGAUGUUGAAGAUGUAGCACAUCAU